UACUGCGAUGAAUCGCUUCCUUCCUCCACCCAUUCCCUCCAUGUUUCAAUCGACGCCUGCUUCUUUUUCGCUUCCUUUUUAUCAGAGAGCCAAAUAAUGUGUAACAUAAUAUAGGCGAGCAUGACUUGCGCCUAAAGCACGCGUUUUUUUACCUGAAAACACAUCUUGUUCUGCAUUGCGCCUCGCCAAAUCCUGAUGCUCUCCAUUAUAAUUUUUCUUUAUCUGUUUCGCGUAAAAAACAACAAAAAUCAGAGAAAUUUGCAGAAGAGUCGGAGCAACAGAGUCGAUUAUUUUAUCUAAAAACACACCGAUACCUCAUGAUCUUCACUAAGCCCGAGUUUCCUUGGUAGUACUGUCCGACGAGUGAGCUGGUGGUCAUAACCAGCAGCUGCACAUUUCACGGGCGGUCAAGUAGUUAACACACGAACACGACUUUUAUUUAAAUCGAAUUAAUGUAAUGCAGGACUGACAGAUAAAAAUGUGAAGGAUGAAAACUUACCUGAUAGAGAAUCACAGGGAGUGAAGAAACUCGAAGAAGCAAUGCAUAUUAUUGUAGUGAUGAUGAUAAAAUGCUCCAUUGCUAGCCUGUCUUGAAGUAGAACUAAGAACUGUGUGUUUUUGAGUGAGUUCAACUUGAUAUUUAUACUCGAAAUAUGUGAGGACACGCGGGGAUAUUUACAUUAAUAAAUAAAUAAAUAGCGGAAAUAUAAAAAAGACGUGUUUAUUUGAAUAACGGAAAUUUAAAAAAAGACGUGUUUAAGCAUAGUGAUCCUACUAGUUAAUUGUUAAAUCAGAUACUCCU
rnacentral:lncRNA from 1 species